CCUUUCAAUGCAGAAGAGUUGAGGUGGUUGAGUAUCUCGCCCCUCCACUCUCGCUGUAUUUUACCCUUAUUUUUCUCAUACUAUUAUUUCCUCGGCAGGCCAGCCUGCCGGGUGAAACAACUUCAAACCUGUUUAAUUUUCAAUCAGCGUCUGAACAAAUCAUAAUA
rnacentral:misc_RNA from 1 species